rnacentral:rRNA from 1 species
AUGAACGCUGGCAGAAUGCUUAACACAUGCAAGUCUUUGGCGAAGCUGUGCUUGCACAGCCUAGCCAAGGCGGACGGGUGAGUAACGCGUAAGGAACUUGCCCUGCAGUCAGGGAUAACAGACGGAAACGACUGAUAAGACCUGGUAAAGUCAGGCGGACUCAUGUCCAGCCUGAUGAAAAGAGAUGCUGCAGGAGAGCCUUGCGUCCUAUUAGCUUGUUGGUGGGGUAACGGCCCACCAAGGCGAUGAUAGGUAGCCGGCCUGAGAGGGUGGACGGCCACAAGGGGACUGAGAUACGGCCCUUACUCCUACGGGAGGCAGCAGUGGGGAAUAUUGGACAAUGUGGGCAACCCUGAUCCAGCAAUUCUGUGUGCACGAUGAAGGUUUUCGGAUUGUAAAGUGCUUUCAGCAGGGAAGAAAAAAUGACGGUACCUGCAGAAGAAGCGACGGCUAAAUACGUG